UCUGCAGUUACUUGUAGCGAGUAUGGAAUACAGUGAAUGUCCAUUUUCUCUUCCCUCGAGAGGCCUCCGUUUCAACAAACAAAACAUUGCAAUUUCAACUUAGACUGUUGGAAAUGAGUAAUUUAAGAAGCAGAGUCGGUGGGCAUAACGCUAUUCAAAAACAGUCAUGAGUGCUGAUAAUGUUGUGUCACUGUUCUUACUGGUUUGGACUUUCGUGGCUGUCUGUCAAGCAUUUGAUGAUGAUUUUUACAGUCCAAGCUGUGAUGAUGUGACUGGAUCUGUGGGAGAAGAAGUAACUUUCACCUGCAGAGUUUCUCGGCAGAGAAAUGACUGCUGCAUUGCAAUGUACAUAUUUCUGUAUCCCGAGAUUUAUAAUGACUUACAAAUCUGUAAACAAAAGCCUCCUGAUGGCUCCUGUGGACAGAUGAACAGCUUCACAUGCCGCUACACUCCAAAUACAGAAAUGACAGGAAAAUUCAGAUUUGUUUUAGUAACAGAGUGUGGAGUAAAAAGAGCAGAAUUCAGUGUAAACAUAACAGGGCCCAUUAAACCUGAAUUUGACAUUGAAGCUCCUGAAUUCUGCAGUUUAAGCUGUGCAGAUGUGUCUGGAUCUGUAGGAAAAGAAGCAACUCUCAACUGCAGUGUCCCUCUGCUGUGCACUGAGUGCUGCAUUACAAAUUAUAUGUUUAAAUACAUCAAUAAUGAUGUCUCCGUAAUAUGUAAACACGUGCUUCCUGAGAACUCCUGUGAGCAGAGAAGCAGCUUCACAUGCCACUACACUCCAACUACAAAAAUGACAAAAAAUAAUUUUCUUUGUGCAAACAAAGUGUGGAUGGAAAAAAACUGAGUUCACUGUGGACACAAGAGAGACUGUUAUACCUCUAAUCGACACUGAAACUCCUGGUCAUGGAUCUGAGGCCCUCGUCAUUACUGGUGUAAGCUGUUUCAUCAUAUUCAUCAUCAUCGCUGUUAUUGCAAUCAUUUAUGUAAAGAGGUUUAAAAACAACAACUCUUCUGGGGUCCAGAUAAAUUAUGAAAGAGGUGUUUGUGCAGAACAACCAAUGAUGACAACACAUAAUUAGUAAAAACAACAUGAAGGCAAUGUUUCACUUUUCAUGAUGUUCACUUUAACUACAGUUGCUAUAGACACUAAAAUGUUGGGUUAAAAACAACACAGACCUAGGUGAAAUAUGGACAAACCCUGUGAUUGGGUUGUUUUUGACCUUCUGGUUAUUUAACUUGCCUAUUGUUACUUGCUUAAAAUAAACCCAAAAUAGGUUGGAAAUAAACAUUUCUUAAUAUGCUCAAUAAAUUACAUUUAUUAAUAAGUUGAAAUAAUAAUUUAAAAAUAAACGUUUUUAAUUGCUCAAGGUUCACCUUUUGAUUAUUGCUGAUGCCUAUGGUAAUUGUGUGUCUGAUUUACAACCUAUUUUGGGGUUCAUUUUAAGUCAGCCAUAUAUUAACAAGUGUAUAAAUUAGUUAAAUAAAACUACCCAGGUUUGUCUUUUUAUGUGUGCACAGUGUGCACAGCAAUGUUACACCAAUAUAUUUGUCAAGCCAGUUAAUCAGUGUGGCCAUAAGUAUCUGGAUCAGAUGAUAUUUUGCUUUUUUUUUUUCAAAGUCUUUUAAUACAGUUAUAGAGUAAAUGUUGUGUAAGUAUUGUAUGUUUUUAUGUCAUAUAUCUGUUUUUAUUAGCAUAGUAAUUGUAUUGACAGACUGAAAUGUUAUUAAAUGAUUAAAACUCUAAA